rnacentral:rRNA from 1 species
GGGUUGUGAGGUUAAGCGACUAAGCGUACACGGUGGAUGCCCUGGCAGUCAGAGGCGAUGAAGGGCGUGCUAAUCUGCGAUAAGCGCCGGUAAGGUGAUAUGAACCGUUAUAACCGGCGAUACCCGAAUGGGGAAACCCAGUGUGAUUCGUCACACUAUCAUUAACUGAAUCCAUAGGUUAAUGAGGCGAACCGGGGGAACUGAAACAUCUAAGUACCCCGAGGAAAAGAAAUCAACCGAGAUUCCCCCAGUAGCGGCGAGCGAACGGGGAGGAGCCCAGAGCCUGAAUCAGCAUGUGUGUUAGUGGAAGCGUCUGGAAAGGCGCGCGAUACAGGGUGACAGCCCCGUACACAAAAGCGCAUGUGCUGUGAGCUCGAUGAGUAGGGCGGGACACGUGGUAUCCUGUCUGAAUAUGGGGGGACCAUCCUCCAAGGCUAAAUACUCCUGACUGACCGAUAGUGAACCAGUACCGUGAGGGAAAGGCGAAAAGAACCCCGGCGAGGGGAGUGAAAAAGAACCUGAAACCGUGUACGUACAAGCAGUGGGAGCNNNNNNNNNNNNNNNNNNNNNNNNNNNNNNNNNNNNNGGGCGUUAAGUUGCAGGGUAUAGACCCGAAACCCGGUGAUCUAGCCAUGGGCAGGUUGAAGGUUGGGUAACACUAACUGGAGGACCGAACCGACUAAUGUUGAAAAAUUAGCGGAUGACCUGUGGCUGGGGGUGAAAGGCCAAUCAAACCGGGAGAUAGCUGGUUCUCCCCGAAAGCUAUUUAGGUAGCGCCUCGUGAAUUCAUCUCCGGGGGUAGAGCACUGUUUCGGCUAGGGGGCCAUCCCGGCUUACCAACCCGAUGCAAACUGCGAAUACCGGAGAAUGUUAUCACGGGAGACACACGGCGGGUGCUAACGUCCGUCGUGAAGAGGGAAACAACCCAGACCGCCAGCUAAGGUCCCAAAGUCAUGGUUAAGUGGGAAACGAUGUGGGAAGGCCCAGACAGCCAGGAUGUUGGCUUAGAAGCAGCCAUCAUUUAAAGAAAGCGUAAUAGCUCACUGGUCGAGUCGGCCUGCGCGGAAGAUGUAACGGGGCUAAACCAUGCACCGAAGCUGCGGCAGCGACACUGUGUGUUGUUGGGUAGGGGAGCGUUCUGUAAGCCUGUGAAGGUGUGUCGUGAGGCAUGCUGGAGGUAUCAGAAGUGCGAAUGCUGACAUAAGUAACGAUAAAGCGGGUGAAAAGCCCGCUCGCCGGAAGACCAAGGGUUCCUGUCCAACGUUAAUCGGGGCAGGGUGAGUCGACCCCUAAGGCGAGGCCGAAAGGCGUAGUCGAUGGGAAACGGGUUAAUAUUCCCGUACUUGGUGUUACUGCGAAGGGGGGACGGAGAAGGCUAUGUUGGCCGGGCGACGGUUGUCCCGGUUUAAGCGUGUAGGUGUGUGUUCCAGGUAAAUCCGGUUCACUUUAACACUGAGGCGUGACGACGAGGCACUACGGUGCUGAAGCAACAAAUGCCCUGCUUCCAGGAAAAGCCUCUAAGCAUCAGGUAACAUCAAAUCGUACCCCAAACCGACACAGGUGGUCAGGUAGAGAAUACCAAGGCGCUUGAGAGAACUCGGGUGAAGGAACUAGGCAAAAUGGUGCCGUAACUUCGGGAGAAGGCACGCUGACACGUAGGUGAAGUGAUUUACUCAUGGAGCUGAAGUCAGUCGAAGAUACCAGCUGGCUGCAACUGUUUAUUAAAAACACAGCACUGUGCAAACACGAAAGUGGACGUAUACGGUGUGACGCCUGCCCGGUGCCGGAAGGUUAAUUGAUGGGGUCAGCGCAAGCGAAGCUCCUGAUCGAAGCCCCGGUAAACGGCGGCCGUAACUAUAACGGUCCUAAGGUAGCGAAAUUCCUUGUCGGGUAAGUUCCGACCUGCACGAAUGGCGUAAUGAUGGCCAGGCUGUCUCCACCCGAGACUCAGUGAAAUUGAACUCGCUGUGAAGAUGCAGUGUACCCGCGGCAAGACGGAAAGACCCCGUGAACCUUUACUAUAGCUUGACACUGAACAUUGAGCCUUGAUGUGUAGGAUAGGUGGGAGGCUUUGAAGUGUGGACGCCAGUCUGCAUGGAGCCGACCUUGAAAUACCACCCUUUAAUGUUUGAUGUUCUAACGUGGACCCGUUACCCGGGUUGCGGACAGUGUCUGGUGGGUAGUUUGACUGGGGCGGUCUCCUCCUAAAGAGUAACGGAGGAGCACGAAGGUUGGCUAAUCCUGGUCGGACAUCAGGAGGUUAGUGCAAUGGCAUAAGCCAGCUUGACUGCGAGCGUGACGGCGCGAGCAGGUGCGAAAGCAGGUCAUAGUGAUCCGGUGGUUCUGAAUGGAAGGGCCAUCGCUCAACGGAUAAAAGGUACUCCGGGGAUAACAGGCUGAUACCGCCCAAGAGUUCAUAUCGACGGCGGUGUUUGGCACCUCGAUGUCGGCUCAUCACAUCCUGGGGCUGAAGUAGGUCCCAAGGGUAUGGCUGUUCGCCAUUUAAAGUGGUACGCGAGCUGGGUUUAGAACGUCGUGAGACAGUUCGGUCCCUAUCUGCCGUGGGCGCUGGAGAACUGAGGGGGGCUGCUCCUAGUACGAGAGGACCGGAGUGGACGCAUCACUGGUGUUCGGGUUGUCAUGCCAAUGGCACUGCCCGGUAGCUAAAUGCGGAAGAGAUAAGUGCUGAAAGCAUCUAAGCACGAAACUUGCCCCGAGAUGAGUUCUCCCUGAGACUUAGAGUCUCCUGAAGGAACGUUGAAGACGACGACGUUGAUAGGCCGGGUGUGUAAGCGCAGCGAUGCGUUGAGCUAACCGGUACUAAUGAACCGUGAGGCUUAACCUUACAACGCCGAAG